UACAGAGGGUGCUAGCGUUAAUCGGAAUUACUGGGCGUAAAGCGCACGUAGGUGGCUUGGCAAGUCGGAUGUGAAAGCCCUGGGCUCAACCUAGGAAUUGCAUUCGAUACUGCUUAGCUAGAGUAUGGUAGAGGGAAGUGGAAUUUCCGGUGUAGCGGUGAAAUGCGUAGAUAUCGGAAGGAACACCAGUGGCGAAGGCGGCUUCCUGGACCAUUACUGACACUGAGGUGCGAAAGCGUGGGGAGCAAACAGG
rnacentral:misc_RNA from 1 species